CCUACGGGGGGCUGCAGUGAGGAAUAUUGGUCAAUGGACGAGAGUCUGAACCAGCCAAGUAGCGUGAAGGAUGACUGCCCUAUGGGUUGUAAACUUCUUUUAUAUGGGAAUAAAACGUUCCACGUGUGGGAUUUUGUAUGUACCAUAUGAAUAAGGAUCGGCUAACUCCGUGCCAGCAGCCGCGGUAAUACGGAGGAUCCGAGCGUUAUCCGGAUUUAUUGGGUUUAAAGGGAGCGUAGGUGGAUUGUUAAGUCAGUUGUGAAAGUUUGCGGCUCAACCGUAAAAUUGCAGUUGAAACUGGCAGUCUUGAGUACAGUAGAGGUGGGCGGAAUUCGUGGUGUAGCGGUGAAAUGCUUAGAUAGCACGAAGAACUCCGAUUGCGAAGGCAGUUCACUGGACUGCAACUGACACUGAGGCUCGAAAGUGUGGGUAUCAAACAGGAUUAGAUACCCCUGUAGUC
rnacentral:rRNA from 1 species